AAGUGUUUUUGUGGGCGUUACCCCAACCACGGCCUCCAAGGCCCAACGUUUCCCAUUUCGGCCGAUGGAUCUCACUGAUUAAGCGAAUUGCCCAUUGCCGAGGUCUGGACACUAGUGGAGACUCUGGAGAGGAACUCGAAAUUGGAGGCAAUGCUACUUGCGCUGACCUCAACCAAAAUCCGACCGUUUAUCCCCUACCCAGUUGAAAAUUUCCUCCAUACCUGCCCAACAAACCUCAAAUUCUCCCUUAAUGCUCCUCCAAAUUCUCUCCGAAGCUUUCCAGUAGCAGCCAAGUCUAAACAGACCCACCUUUCCAAUCCCCAUAAUAAGACUCAGGACAAUGGCAUCCCAAUCGAAGACCUCAAAUUCAUUGCCAAAUUCAAGUCCAGAUACAACUACAUUCGCGUUCUCGAAGUUUCUCGUAAAGCCGACCACCCUCUUGCCGGUUCUAGACUCCUCCUUCUAGAUGCCCCGGGAAACAUCCACAGCAUUUCCUUUCGCUUCAAAUUACUCACUGAUACCUAUUUCGACGUUUUCGCUACUUUGCCUCCCAUUUUGCCCCCUGGACCUGUGGCCGUUCUCGGAUUCGGGGCGGGUUCUGCAGCCCGUUUAAUACUAGAGUUGUAUCCAGACGUGGCUGUUCACGGAUGGGAGCUUGACCCAUCUGUGAUUGCAGUGGGCAGAGAGUAUUUUGGCCUUGAAAAGCUCGAAAAGCAGCACUCGGAUAGGCUUUUUAUUUAUAUUGGAAAUGCAUUGACGUUAAAAUCUAAUGUUAAGGACGGGCUUUCGGGCAUUCUCGUUGAUCUGUUUAGCAAGGGUAGUGUGAUCCCCGAGCUUCAAGAUCCAAACACUUGGGAGGAGUUAAUCAGGUGUUUGAGGAAAGGCGGGAGAAUCAUGGUGAACGUUGGUGGUCGUUGUGUGGAGGCGGAGGAUAAGAGAAGGGAUGGCGAUAUGGUUAUGGAGGAUACUUUGAAGGCAAUGCAUCAGGUAUUCGGUGACGAUCUUUUUGUUUUGAGUCUUGGAAAUCAAAAGGAUGACAGCUCUGUUGCUCUUACCGGUAAAUUACCGGAUUCUGAUGCAUGGAAAAAGGUGCUUCCGAAGUCAUUGAGGUUUUAUGUUGAUAUGUGGGCACCAUUUAGUUGUUAGUCUGGUUCAAAAGUUUGCCAUGCAUUUUUCAUCAUCAUCUGACUCACAAACAAUCAUAAACUCUGUAAAGGCUAGAAGGAUGUCAGAAAUAUUGGACUUACAAAUAGCAAAUUUGGAUCGCAAAUGAUAUCUCCAUCUGGGCAUAUCUUUAUGAAGGCCACUCGUGAGAGACCUGUUGAGGAAUUGAGCUUUCAAAUCCUGAUGGGAAUUAUAAGCCUGUAGUAGAGCCCACAUCAAAUCGUCUUUUUGAAUGUGUAAAUGUGAAAAUGUGAAAGUGCUGCAGAACCGCUAAAAGUACCUGAGACAUUUUAUCUUAAUAACCAAGUGAUGAUAUGUUGAUGGAGGAGACUAGGAGCUGUGAUGAGCAAUGGUUUUGCAGCAACCACCAAAGUUUUGACUCUUGUCGUCUCUCAUCUCAUCUUUGAGCUGGUCACUUAGUGUAAAUACAGCAACCAGAUUUUCUAUGAGAAUUUUCUUUUUUAGGUAUGGUAUAUUACUUAACCUUACUAAACAACAGUUGUACAGGAAUCUUAAUAUAAUACUAUAUUCUCAUUUC